CCUACGGGGGGCAGCAGUGGGGAAUAUUGGACAAUGGGGGGAACCCUGAUCCAGCGACGCCGCGUGAGUGAAGAAGUAUUUCGGUAUGUAAAGCUCUAUCAGCAGGGAAGAAAGAAAUGACGGUACCUGACUAAGAAGCCCCGGCUAACUACGUGCCAGCAGCCGCGGUAAUACGUAGGGGGCAAGCGUUAUCCGGAUUUACUGGGUGUAAAGGGAGCGUAGACGGCGAGGCAAGUCUGAAGUGAAAGGCGGGGGCUCAACCCCCGGACUGCUUUGGAAACUGUAUGGCUGGAGUGCAGGAGAGGUAAGUGGAAUUCCUAGUGUAGCGGUGAAAUGCGUAGAUAUUAGGAGGAACACCAGUGGCGAAGGCGGCUUACUGGACUGUAACUGACGUUGAGGCUCGAAAGCGUGGGGAGCAAACAGGAUUAGAUACCCGAGUAGUC
rnacentral:rRNA from 1 species